AUAAUGGUUCGCAAACUAUCAUAGAAUCAAAGCGUUUGAAACAAAAAUAUUAUUAUAUAAAUAAUAAAAAACAAGAUUACAAUACAAGUCUUUCAAAAGUAUUCUGGAAUUAGCGGAUGCAAUUUGGUAAAACUUGGUGUUGACUAAUAAGUAGGGCACACCCGCCAUUGUUCGGACCAUCGACAGAAUAACGUUCGUGUUUUUGAGAUUACUCCAUCCAAGACAUAGAUUUGCUGAUGAAUAACAUCGCAAAGAUCUUGGUGUAUUGUCUUCAUACUUGGCCACAACAACCCUUCAAAUAGACCAGACUAAACUAAAUUAACUUGACCACCAUAUUAACAUUCAAGAAGUUCGGCCUACAUGUCAGAUUUAUGAAUGUGAACAGCAGGAUAUCGAUUUAUAGGAUGCUUUAGGGUCAAUGACAAUGAAAUGACGAGAGAUAAAGGCUAAAAUGUGAGACUGUCAAUCUGACUAACCUUGAAGUGAACAAAUGGAAAAAAUGUUCUUUUCAAUAGCAUGGGCUUUUAAGGAAGAGGAAACAGAGGCGCUUAUAUGAUAGAACAGUAAAAGCAGGAGUGAUAAUGAAAGAUACAUGAAGAUGUGUCUUCAUGUCGGAAACACUAAAGAAAUAGAAAUAUUGUGGUUUUAUAAAACUUAAAAGAAAUUGGAAUACCAGGAGACUGCCUGCCCUUUGCAAUGUUGGAUAAAGAGUUCUUAGAUGUGAUGUCGAAAGCCUCAUGAAGCCCAUGACUUAAUCUAAUUAGAAAAAGAAAUGACAUUGAAGAGAAAACUAGUCACCAGUCUUUCACCAAGAACUAGAGAUAACUUUCCAAUAUUUGAAAUAUCAUAAUAUGAGCCGCGUCAUGACAAAACCAACAUAGUAGGUUUGCGACCAGCA